rnacentral:lncRNA from 1 species
UAUGCCCAAGGGUAGUUUUGUCUUCUUCUUUCAAAAAUCCACGUGUCGCCUUGUGAUUAUUUUUGGCUCCACAUGAACGAUGUUGGUUGUAACACUUAGAAUCACAUACUUUGUGUCAAAGUACGCAUGUUGAAGCUCUGAUUUGGAGUAUAAGGGUAGGUCAGCGUAGACCAAGUGUUCUAGUGCUAGGAACGCAAAAGACUCAAAAGAAGUUGUAUGAAUUCCCUCUUCUUUAAAUAUUUGCCAAAUGGCUUGUGUGACAAA